AACGAACGCUGGCGGCAUGCCUAACACAUGCAAGUCGAACGAAGGCUUCGGCCUUAGUGGCGCACGGGUGCGUAACGCGUGGGAAUCUGCCCUUAGGUUCGGAAUAACAGCUGGAAACGGCUGCUAAUACCGGAUGAUGUCGAAAGACCAAAGAUUUAUCGCCCAGGGAUGAGCCCGCGUAGGAUUAGCUAGUUGGUGGGGUAAAAGCUCACCAAGGCGACGAUCCUUAGCUGGUCUGAGAGGAUGAUCAGCCACACUGGGACUGAGACACGGCCCAGACUCCUACGGGAGGCAGCAGUGGGGAAUAUUGGACAAUGGGCGAAAGCCUGAUCCAGCAAUGCCGCGUGAGUAAUGAAGGCCUUAGGGUUGUAAAGCUCUUUUACCCGGGAUGAUAAUGACAGUACCGGGAGAAUAAGCCCCGGCUAACUCCGUGCCAGCCGCCGCAGUAA
rnacentral:rRNA from 1 species